rnacentral:rRNA from 1 species
ACGCUGGCGGCGUGCCUAAUACAUGCAAGUCGAACGAGAGCGACCGGUGCUUGCACUGGUCAAUCUAGUGGCGAACGGGUGAGUAACACGUGGGUAACCUGCCCAUCAGAGGGGGAUAACAUACGGAAACGGAUGCUAAAACCGCAUAGGUCCUUUAACCGCAUGGUUGAAGGAGGAAAAGAGGCGCAAGCUUCUGCUGAUGGAUGGACCCGCGGUGCAUUAGCUAGUUGGUGAGGUAACGGCUCACCAAGGCCGUGAUGCAUAGCCGACCUGAGAGGGUGAUCGGCCACAUUGGAACUGAGACACGGCCCAAACUCCUACGGGGGGCAGCAGUAGGGAAUCUUCCGCAAUGGACGCAAGUCUGACGGAGCAACGCCGCGUGAGUGAAGAAGGUUUUCGGAUCGUAAAACUCUGUUGUUAGAGAAGAACAAGUGCUAGAGUAACUGUUAGCGCCUUGACGGUAUCUAACCAGAAAGCCACGGCUAACUACGUGCCAGCAGCCGCGGUAAUACGUAGGUGGCAAGCGUUGUCCGGAUUUAUUGGGCGUAAAGCGAGCGCAGGCGGUUCCUUAAGUCUGAUGUGAAAGCCCCCGGCUCAACCGGGGAGGGUCAUUGGAAACUGGGGAACUUGAGUGCAGAAGAGGAGAGUGGAAUUCCAUGUGUAGCGGUGAGAUGCGUAGAUAUAUGGAGGAACACCAGUGGCGAAGGCGACUCUCUGGUCUGUAACUGACGCUGAGGCUCGAAAGCGUGGGUAGCAAACAGGAUUAGAUACCCUGGUAGUCCACGCCGUAAACGAUGAGUGCUAAGUGUUGGAGGGUUUCCGCCCUUCAGUGCUGCAGUUAACGCAUUAAGCACUCCGCCUGGGGAGUACGACCGCAAGGUUGAAACUCAAAGGAAUUGACGGGGACCCGC